rnacentral:rRNA from 1 species
UACGUAGGGUGCGAGCGUUGUCCGGAAUUAUUGGGCGUAAAGAGCUCGUAGGCGGUCUGUUACGUCCGCUGUGAAAACCCGGAGCUCAACUCCGGGCCUGCAGUCGAUACGGGCAAACUGGAGUGUUGCAGGGGAGACUGGAAUUCCUGGUGUAGCGGUGAAAUGCGCAGAUAUCAGGAGGAACACCGGUGGCGAAGGCGGGUCUCUGGGCAACAACUGACGCUGAGGAGCGAAAGCGUGGGGAGCAAACAGG